rnacentral:lncRNA from 1 species
GGUCCGGGCUGACGGCCCCCGACAGGCUCCUGGGUGGAGCUGCGCUGCGGCCCGGGGCGCCCCGACCCCGCGGUGUCGCGGUUCUCCUCCCGCCACGCCGACGUGGAGCGGAUGCUGCUGGAGGCCCAGCUGGAGACGGAGAGCGCGGACAGCCCCCUGCUCGUGCCGAGCUCCCCAGCCCGGGAGGACGUCGGCGGGUGCCCCGGGGACCGAGAGCCGCCCCCUGCCUGCAGCCGGCCCCAGCCCGGCUGCGCCCACCCCGCGCAGCGGGACGCGCCGGAGGAGGCCGAGCGCCGGGAGCGGCACUUGCCGGCAUCCCUCGCCUGGGCCUGCGCCCGCCGCCGCCAGCGUCUGUCUCCCAAGGACCUCGCCUGCGUGUGCUCCCCCCCGCCGGCCCUGUGGAGCCUCCAGGGAGGCUCCGUGGGGAGGAAGAAGAGGCUCUUCAGUUCGGAGGUGCUGCUGCUCUUCAUCCCCUCGCUGCUGCUCAGCCACCUGCUGACCCUGGGCCUGGGGUGAGUUCCCGAUGGGUCGCGUUUGUGCUGCGGAGCGGCCGUGGCCGGAACUGACCCCUCGGGUCUGC